AUACAGAGGGUGCAAGCGUUAUUCGGAAUUACUGGGCGUAAAGCGCGCGUAGGCGGAUGAUUAAGUCAGUUAUGAAAGCCCUGGGCUCAACCUAGGAACUGCAUCUGAUACUGGUCGUCUAGAGUUUAAGAGAGGGAAGUGGAAUUCCAGGUGUAGCAGUGAAAUGCGUAGAUAUCUGGAGGAACAUCAGUGGCGAAGGCGACUUCCUGGCUUAAAACUGACGCUGAGGUGCGAAAGCGUGGGUAGCGAACGGGAUUAGAAACCCCAGUAGUCC
rnacentral:rRNA from 1 species